AAAAUCGCAACAAAGAAACGGCAGAGAAAUAAUCCCACUGUAAUAUAAGUAAAAAAACAUUGAUAUGAAACCAAAAUAGAAAUGAAAAGGCAAAGACAGACAAAGACAAAGGUCGGGAUUCAUACCCCAAAAUUAGUCCCCGAUGAAGCAGGGGAUUUCAAAAACCACAAAAAACAGUGUAGCGAGUGUGUGUGUUUUGGCCUUUGGUUACCCAGAGCUAAAAAAAUGAGAGGAAAAAAAUUCAAAAGAGAUCGAGAGAGAGAAUCGAUAAAGAAAUGGGAGGAGAUUUGGGUUGAAGAGAUAUAUUUGAGGAUUUGUUAUGAAAGCAGAAGAAAUGAGGAAGAAAAUGAAAACAAAACAGGGAGACCGAGAGAGAUAGAAAGAAACGGCUAAUAAAUGGGUUUAUGUAGGGUUUAGGUUUCAAUUUGGGUUUUUAUUUGAGUUUUGGGUUCUGGUUUGAGAUUUCAAUUUUGAUUUUAGAUUAUUGAAAAUUUGUCGUCAGAAUUUUGACUCAUCACUUUAAUUUUUUUUACUUUUUUUAAAUUAAUUUCAUAUUUGACAAAAAUAAUUAUUUUUUAAACGGCUCAAUAAUUCCUACAAUAUCAAGCCAGCAAGAAAAAAGAGAUUGUAGGAAACCUCAGACAGCCAGUCGAGUUGACAUCAAAAUAAAUUAAAUAUUCAGUCGGUAAUUCCAACUAUAAUAAUGAAAUCCUCAUUGGCUUCCACAAUCCAUCCAUUUAUAAACUGUAAUCGCCGAAAACGGCUCCGUAGAUCACAAUGUUUCAGAUCCACUGGUUCCUAUCAGCAAGCGAAACAUGAAAUUUCUAUCGGUCCAAUCAUAGCAUCGCCGGUCACUGCUCUUGGCUACCGGCGACGUGGCAUCGGACCCAAAAAUGAUAGAUAAAAAAAAUCCAUUCAAAAGAAAACCCUCAGAGACCCAUUUCAAAUCACUCACACAGCGGAACACGCUUCGAGGAAGCACUCGCCUGAUUUCCCGGCCAACCAUCAAACACCUAAGAACAAAUAUCAGAGGGCUGAGAAUUGGCAGUUGGGAAGACGGGUAUGUUCCUUAGCGAGUUGCCGCCGCUGAUUAAAGUGUCAUACGGCACUUCCUAUCUAUGGGAAUUCUUCCUCACUGGGAUUUCAAACUAUAAAACACUUUUUCUUCUACAUUUCAAAACAAAUUUAAACCAAAACAAAAAAAAUACAAAAAUAAAGAGUAAAAAGGAGAGUUCCGCAGAUAAACCCUAGAAUGACUUGUUCUUUUUAUUAUAUGGCGGAGAAACUUAGUAGGAUUUUAUAAAGAGCAACGGUGUUUAAAGAAACCCUAGAUCUCUAAAUUGGAAAUUUUAGAGAGAUUGAAAUUCAUCAAAUUGGGCUUAUUUUGGUGAUUUUAAAUAAACCGAAAGGGAUUUUCAAGGCCCAAAAUGCUUGAUGUAGGAUGCUCCUACAAACUCCAUAUGCCUAAGCUAUUGGUUUUAUUAAUCUGUUUCCAUCCAUUUUAAAAUAUAUAUAUUUAAUCUAUAAAUAUCAGAAUGUAAAAAUGAAUUAAAACAUAAUGAAAAUAUUUAUAAAAAAAAAUUGUUAAAAACAUUAUUAAAAGAAUUCAAAAUUUGCUCAGUUAUCCCUAAAUUUGACAUCCUACUUUUGGUUGAAAACAAUUUGGAGUAAUUCCGAGUAUAUUAAACCUUCACCGGCCAAUUCAAUCCCAAACUAGUUUAAUCCUUAUCAAAUAAUAUGAUAUUAUUAUUCAUGUCUUAUUCGAUUACUUUAUAAAAAAAAACUAAAUCCAAACGCUUAUAAAAAUUUAUAAAUUUAAUCCUCAAAUUGGUACUUAAAUUAUAUAUUUUUUCUCAUCUUUAUACCUAAUCUUUUUAUUUUAUUUUCAUCAAUAAAAUAAAAUAUUUAGAGAGGUUGAGUAAUUGGUUUCAUUAUUAUUAGGGGAGGGAACGGGCCUAUAUCCCUUUAGCGGAAUAAGAACAAAAAUUAACACAAGGAGGAAGAAAAAAUAUAAAACUAGAUCUUAAAUUCGAACUGCAGAAUAAGAACGAAUAUUAACACCAGUAAACUUAAAAAAUCCGAACCAGAUUCAAAAUAUUUUACUAAGAAAAAAAAUAAAACGAAUAAAAAUAGUAAUUUCUAAACCUGAAAACCAAAAACCAUAAAAUAAACCAAGAAAUAGAAAUAAAAAAGCAUAAUUCUUAAAUUAAAAACAGAAAACAGAAAAUACAAUGUUGAAGCAAUGAUUCGUACCUUAUGAAGCAAGGGAUUCCAAAAAUCUCAAAAAACAGAAACGGCACAAUGUCUUUGCAGUCCUUUAGGCGUCGGUUACAAAAAAGUUAAAAAACAUUAAAAGGAAAAUUUUAAAAUGAGACAGACAAAAUAAAAGAAAGAGUAAAGGGAAAAAAAAUGGUUAGAAAAAAAAAGGAAAAUGAAAAGAGAAUAAACUAUUAAAAAAUACCUAUUAUCACAAGUCACAUUAACUGAGACUCCAAAAUCAUGCCAAUUCUCCCAGCCCAAAAAACUAGGACCAUUAUCUCGAAUAGCAAAAAACCAAUGACCCAAUAGAACUAGAACAAAACGAACAAAAAGCCAAUCCAAAAAAAACGAAACCUUCCCAUCUAAACAAACUACCCAAAACAGGAAUGAAAAUGCAAAAAGAUAAAUGAUAAGCAAAAAAACACAUAAUAGUCGAUAAAUUGACUAAAGUACAACUAUACAAACAUCAACAGAUUUGAAAAGAUGAACCAAAACAAUUUUUCAUAACGUUGAGAACCAAAAUAGUUGCUGGGAAUUGAGAUGUUUUAAUAAUUCAACUAAUCCUUUAAUAACCAAUCCUUCACAUUUUAAGUAAAUAUAUCUUUAAUAAAAAUUAAACUCUCCAUCACUAAUUUCUAAUUUGUAUAUUAUACAUCGCAAAUAUAAUUAUUCUCUUCAUAAAAUCCGUUCCAUAAAAUAGAGGAUUAUCAAAAAUAUAUAUAUCUGCUCAGAAGACACGAAUUUUCUUCUCAUAGAUUUUUAAAAAAAUCUCUGAAGUCUGACAUGUGAAUUUAUUUCAUAAUUCAUCACAGCAGAAGUUUUAGAAUAAAGCAUUUUAACAAAAGAUCAAAUCAAAACAAUGUUCAAAAUUAGCUCUCAUUCUUUCUCUCAAAAUUUCUGCUCAUUUCUGCAAAUCAAUAUUGCCCAUAUUAGGCUCAAUAAUCAUAGAGCUAAUCAAAUUAAUUUCUCAACUUGGAUACACAAAUUGAAACUUCUAAUCCAAAAAUAGAAAAAAUAUUGCAAGUUGAAUUUUGAGAUCAGAGUUUGGUAAAAAAAUUUGUCUGUCACUGUUGAAUCAGAAACACGGACCAAUUAAACCUCAUCAAAUCUCAAAAUUUUAAAGAAAUUUACAACCAAAAAAAUGGAGAAUUUUUUAAUAAAUUUCAAUAAAUAAAUAAAACAAAGGAAUGAUCAUCAGACUUAAAUACAAGUAAUCAUGGAAUAAAUCCAUUCAUAUUGUUGCAGUUUUUUUUUCUCAUCAACUGAUCGAUGACAAAUACAAUACGAAGGAAAGAAAUUUUCGGGGAAAUGAAAGCCAUAAACCAUAGAUCUGAAAGCUGAAAGGAAACGAAAUGAAACCUAGUUGUGAAGAAGAGGGGAAGGUGGCGAAAGUCUGGGUUUUCAUGGUAUUUAUAGAUCUAAUUGGGGAGGUCGCGCUAUAAACACUAGAUUGCAACGGCGGCGUUUACCACUGGGACUAGAGAAUUGAAAUGGGCUGAAUUGCUUAAUAAUUGAACCAUAGACAUUACAUUUAUAAUUGUUGAUAGUUCAUCUUCGACCAUUCUCCAAUCAGCUUUUAGCUUAUGAACCACAGUUUAAGCAUAAGGCAACCACUAAGUAGCUUAUUAACAAAUUAAAAGCUAAAAAAUUAAAUAUAAAUUGAAAUAAUAGUUUUUCCUUAAAUCUUUUUGCAAUAUUUCAGAAAAGAAAUUAAAAGAAAGAGGAAAAAGAACCUGGAGUUGAGAAGAGGGUUUGGUUUUCAAAUACAAACAAUCCCAUAGAGCACUCCAUUUUCCAUAGCAGUUAUCCAAAACUACUCCUCUAUAAUACUGUUGCAAUUGAUGAACCGGAGCUGCCCAACGAAUUAUUGAAUCAAUUCAUAUAAAAAGUUGAAAUUGGUAAAAAAAAAAAAUAGAAAAUAGAGAGAGGGUGGAAUACAAUAGCAAAACCAGAGAGCAUCGAAGCAUUUAGUGCAGGACAAGAACCCGAUCCAAAAACCACGAAACCAUCCCAUCUAAACAAACCACCCCAAAACAGGAAUGAAAAGGCAAAAAGAAAAAUGAUAAGCAAAAAAAUACAUAGUAGUCGAUAAACUGACUAAAGAACAACGAUACAAACAUCAACAGAUUUGGAAGGACAAACCAAAACAGUUUUUCUUAAAGCUGAGAACCAAAACUUUAACACUUCAGUUUACAGCAUUUAAACACUUCAAUUUGCAGCACUUUAACAUCUCAAUUAACAACAUUUAUACACCUCUAUCACAGCAAUAAAACAUCUCAUUUUCUAGCAACUAAACACUCGCUUUGGAUUUCACUCAAUAAUAUACUCCAAUGGACAUAUUAUAACGAGUCACUGGUUAGCCAUUUCAAGUUUCAAGAAUUCAAUAUUGUUUGGGACAUUUCGUCAAACAAUUCAUGAGUGUCCAAAUACCUAGAAGCACUGAAAGCCAAAGGAAGCGGGAAAGUACUAUAAAUGCAAAGGACAAAAAGCAAUAGAGAAAAAAAUCAAUGCCCUUGGAAACAACAGCGAAAACCUACUGCUCAUUCUUUAGCAUUUUUUUUCAGUCUCAUAAAAACCAUCAACUCAAUUUCCCUUCAUGUAAGGCUAGGUAACACGGAUGAAUAUAACCCUUUAUCUUUAACCAAAAUCCGAGUAUUUCACCACAUGUAUAUCAAUAAUCACAAAAAACUUCCUAUUCAGCUGAUAUACAGAGAUACCAUGGGUUUACCAAAAACUUCCAAUCAAAAUCCAUUCGCACAUCAUACCCAACAGAACACGAACAAUCCCAACUAUUUUAAAGAAAAUAUACCCAAUCCUUACUAAUAAAUGCAAGCACCUAGCAGUAUGAAAAAGAAAACAUAUAUGCAUACACGAAUCUUGACAAUCUCCACCGUAUAUGAUCAUGAAACCCAAAUCCAAAAAAAACCUUUGCAAUUAGCAAAUCGGUUGAAAUUCUACAAUUCUUCAAUCACUAUCAAUACUAACAAGCAUCCCAAUUAGAUUAUUAUUAUUUUUUAAAACUAAAGUACAUAUUUUUUAAAACUAAAGUACAUAUCAAGAAACAGAAUGUCCCAGUCUGGAAUCCUAUAUGCCGGUUUGGAUCGUUUAGUGGGUACUUCGCAUUUCUAUAAAGAAUGGAAAACUAUUGAAAUAAUUAUAUAUGCAUUAUUUAAAUUUCUGCAAAACAAUUAAUUAAAAUAUUUCUAAAAAUAUUCUUAUAAAUAUUAAAUUGGAUCCGACCUGGUUUAUCAUUUAAUAUAAAGGGGUUAAUAUAAAGAACAGUUCGGUGAUUGUAAACUUUAUUGAAAAAACAAUAAUUAAAUCCAAAUAAUAUUUGUUCAUGUAUCUGUCGUUUUUUUUAAACACCUACCUUUUUUAAUUUAGGUCACCUAUUUAGAAAAUCCUAAUAAUAACCAACUGAUAUAGCAUAAAACAACCACAAAGUAACUCACAGACCACAUCAAUAAAUUUCAAACACACAGCAAAAAAAAAACACAAGUAAAAAAGCAUAAUUCUUAAAUUAAAACAGAGAAAGCCGAAGAUAAUGUUGAAGCAAAGAUUCAUACCUGAAAUCAGUCUUCGAUGAAGCAGGGGUUACAAAAAUCGCAACAAAGAAACGGCAGAGAAAUAAUCCCACUGUAAUAUAAGUAAAAAAACAUUGAUAUGAAACCAAAAUAGAAAUGAAAAGGCAAAGACAGACAAAGACAAAGGUCGGGAUUCAUACCCCAAAAUUAGUCCCCGAUGAAGCAGGGGAUUUCAAAAACCACAAAAAACAGUGUAGCGAGUGUGUGUGUUUUGGCCUUUGGUUACCCAGAGCUAAAAAAAUGAGAGGAAAAAAAUUCAAAAGAGAUCGAGAGAGAGAAUCGAUAAAGAAAUGGGAGGAGAUUUGGGUUGAAGAGAUAUAUUUGAGGAUUUGUUAUGAAAGCAGAAGAAAUGAGGAAGAAAAUGAAAACAAAACAGGGAGACCGAGAGAGAUAGAAAGAAACGGCUAAUAAAUGGGUUUAUGUAGGGUUUAGGUUUCAAUUUGGGUUUUUAUUUGAGUUUUGGGUUCUGGUUUGAGAUUUCAAUUUUGAUUUUAGAUUAUUGAAAAUUUGUCGUCAGAAUUUUGACUCAUCACUUUAAUUUUUUUUACUUUUUUUAAAUUAAUUUCAUAUUUGACAAAAAUAAUUAUUUUUUAAACGGCUCAAUAAUUCCUACAAUAUCAAGCCAGCAAGAAAAAAGAGAUUGUAGGAAACCUCAGACAGCCAGUCGAGUUGACAUCAAAAUAAAUUAAAUAUUCAGUCGGUAAUUCCAACUAUAAUAAUGAAAUCCUCAUUGGCUUCCACAAUCCAUCCAUUUAUAAACUGUAAUCGCCGAAAACGGCUCCGUAGAUCACAAUGUUUCAGAUCCACUGGUUCCUAUCAGCAAGCGAAACAUGAAAUUUCUAUCGGUCCAAUCAUAGCAUCGCCGGUCACUGCUCUUGGCUACCGGCGACGUGGCAUCGGACCCAAAAAUGAUAGAUAAAAAAAAUCCAUUCAAAAGAAAACCCUCAGAGACCCAUUUCAAAUCACUCACACAGCGGAACACGCUUCGAGGAAGCACUCGCCUGAUUUCCCGGCCAACCAUCAAACACCUAAGAACAAAUAUCAGAGGGCUGAGAAUUGGCAGUUGGGAAGACGGGUAUGUUCCUUAGCGAGUUGCCGCCGCUGAUUAAAGUGUCAUACGGCACUUCCUAUCUAUGGGAAUUCUUCCUCACUGGGAUUUCAAACUAUAAAACACUUUUUCUUCUACAUUUC
rnacentral:lncRNA from 1 species